rnacentral:rRNA from 1 species
UACAGAGGUCCCGAGCGUUGUUCGGAUUCACUGGGCGUAAUGGGUGCGUAGGUGGCUUGAAAAGUUUGAUGUGAAAGCUCAGGGCUUAACCCUGAAAUGGCAUUGAAAACUGUCGGGCUGGAGGUUUGGAGGGGGGACUGGAAUUCUUGGUGUAGCAGUGAAAUGCGUAGAUAUCAAGAGGAACACCAGUGGCGAAGGCGAGUCCCUGGACAACACCUGACACUGAGGCACGAAAGCUAGGGGAGCAAACAGG